CGAUGAAGCCCUUCGGGGUGGAUUAGUGGCGAACGGGUGAGUAACACGUGGGCAAUCUGCCCUUCACUCUGGGACAAGCCCUGGAAACGGGGUCUAAUACCGGAUAAUACUUCCACUCGCAUGGGUGGGGGUUGAAAGCUCCGGCGGUGAAGGAUGAGCCCGCGGCCUAUCAGCUUGUUGGUGAGGUAGUGGCUCACCAAGGCGACGACGGGUAGCCGGCCUGAGAGGGCGACCGGCCACACUGGGACUGAGACACGGCCCAGACUCCUACGGGAGGCAGCAGUGGGGAAUAUUGCACAAUGGGCGAAAGCCUGAUGCAGCGACGCCGCGUGAGGGAUGACGGCCUUCGGGUUGUAAACCUCUUUCAGCAGGGAAGAAGCGAAAGUGACGGUACCUGCAGAAGAAGCGCCGGCUAACUACGUGCCAGCAGCCGCGGUAAUACGUAGGGCGCAAGCGUUGUCCGGAAUUAUUGGGCGUAAAGAGCUCGUAGGCGGUCUGUCGCGUCGGAUGUGAAAGCCCGGGGCUUAACCCCGGGUCUGCAUUCGAUACGGGCAGACUAGAGUGUGGUAGGGGAGAUCGGAAUUCCUGGUGUAGCGGUGAAAUGCGCAGAUAUCAGGAGGAACACCGGUGGCGAAGGCGGAUCUCUGGGCCAUUACUGACGCUGAGGAGCG
rnacentral:rRNA from 1 species